AACCACCCUCGUGCCUAAAUUUCGUGAUCGCGCUUGUCAACGGCUGCUCAGAAGCGCCCUCACACUUUUCGUUGCGUAACUGCCUGCCAUGUUAACCUUUUAUCUCCAACUAAUCCACCCUCGUGCUUUUGAAGUGCCCUCACGCUUCUGAAGGAGUUGACUCACUGACUGCUAGGUGUCUUUCCAUCCUUGGGCAUUUGCUAGAGGGUCUU
rnacentral:lncRNA from 1 species